rnacentral:rRNA from 1 species
UACGUAGGUGGCGAGCGUUGUCCGGAUUUACUGGGCGUAAAGAGCGCGCAGGCGGUCGUAUAAGUCGAAUGUGAAAGCCCCCGGCUCAACUGGGGAGAGUCAUUCGAUACUGUUCGACUCGAAGGCAGGAGAGGGAAGUGGAAUUCCAGGUGUAGCGGUGAAAUGCGUAGAUAAUCUGGAGGAACACCGGUGGCGAAGGCGGCGAGUCCUGGACCGAGAUUACGCGUGAGGCGCGUAAAGCCAGGGGAAGCAAACGGGAUUAAGCAUGACCCGAGUAGUCCCGAGUACCAAAGA